CAGCCGCUACAGCUGUUGACCUACGGUUAACGACUGGCAAGUGUUGGCUUUUGUUUAGGAAAUUUUCAUAGAGGCAUCUCUGGGUACCUUUCUCUGUCGAGUUACCAAAAAAACCUCUAUGGAGAAUGGCCCUGAAAUCCAAAAUGGACCCUAAGCACACUGGUCCCCAGGUGGCCUGGCAGUGUUUGGACUAAGGCUUUAAUGUAUGGAGUUUUGUCCUGUCUCUUAGGCUCUGGGACUUGGUUUUGCCCUCGUUUAUCUUGGAGCGAGAGUCACACUCAUGAUGUCUUGGUUAAGGUCAAGGGUGGAGGUGUCUUUAGACUUUGGGUCAAAGACUCCAGAGUGUACCUGGGAUGGGGUACUAGACCUAGAGACUAAAGGCUUUAGUUUUCAUCCUGGAUCUGUUGCUCCAGAGCUGUGUGACUCUGGGUAAAAUGCCCCACUUCUCUGAGCUUCAGACUGGUUUCUGUAUGAAAGAAAGAAAAUUUACCAGAUAUAGCCAAUGAUUAUGUCCAGUUAUAAAGCAUGGCUAGAACCUUAAUAUUGAAAACUUCUAUUUUAAAGAUUUCAACUGGUCAAUACAAUAUUUCCUAUGAUUCUUGAAGGAUUCAAAUGGGUCAAAAGAUGAUAAAUGCUAUUAUUAAUUAAUUAACUAAUUAACUAAUUAAUUAAUUUUGGUGACCAUGUCUAUGAACUGCAACCAGCAAACUACAGACUUGAUUUGUCCUAAGGCAUAUUCAUAUCCAACCUGAGCUCUUCCAUAACUCGACAGUUAUCCAAACUGAAUGAUGUCCCCUCCAUUUUGAUGGUCUCCUUCUGGCCUUCUUGACAGGUGGCCAUGAAGACCUGGGUGGCAGCUCUCCUCUCUCAGCCAGUGAGUUGUCUGGUCACAGUGCAGGGUCACUGUGGACGGCUUCUCUAGGUUGGAAGUUGCCAGGCGGUGCUGAUUGUCUGUAGGGAAGCCAUGGGAAAGACCUGAUUUUUUUUUGUGUGUGUAUAUGUGUGUGUGUGUGUAUGUGUGUGUGUGUGUGUGUGUGUGUGUGUGUGUGUAAGAUGCUGGAUUUGAGCACUAGAGGAGUGGGCCCUGGGGCUGAACCAACAGCUCAGUCAGUAGAAUAUUUGCUGUAUAAACAUGAGGGACCAAGUUCAGAGCCACAGUACCCAUGUAAAAAGCAGUGACACAGGUUUGUAAUCCCAUCAUCUGCAAAAUGGAGACAGUGGAUCUGCAGUGGGUUUGCCAGCCUACUUGAAUAGGUGAACUCCAGGUUCACUGAGAGACUCUGCCUCAAAAAAUACAGUGGAGAGGAGAAGAAGAAGAUGCCCAGUGUUGACCUCACCUCCACAUGUGUGUACAUGUACACACACACACACACACACACACACACACACAUACACACAUGAGUAGGUCUACAUUCCUAUUGUGAACAGGAGGAAUGGCUUAGAUGCAGCCAAGGAUGUGUGUCACACAUCUUGGACUUCAGUUGCUAGGUUAACAGCAGGAAUCAGUGCCCAGCAGCGGGAUCAGUCUGGCCUUGGUAAAAGAUGCACAGCCAUUCCGGUUGUCAAGGAUGGUGAUUGGCCUCUGUCUUAAUAGCUGAUCAAAUAUUCCUUGCUGCUGAACCUUGGCCCUACUCUCUUGGCCUCUAGGCCUUUGCCCAAAUGUGUCCCAUUUCCCUGAAAAGCUUAUUUGAACUUGUUCAACUGGCGAGAGUUCAAACAAAGCUUCUAUGCCAGCCAGGUGUUUCUCUGAAAUGGCAAUAUUCUUGUUAUGUAAGUGGUAUUGCUAACUGGCAUGCGCCAGUGUGCCUUCACAGCUGUUUACAUAUUAGAGUGGUAUGUUUUCACUGCCUAAUACUGUUCCAGUCCCUACGAUCCCUGACUUGUGCUGCCUAAAAGAGACUCUCUGUUCCAGCAACUCAUUGAUUAAGACUUACACAGUAGGGGAGGGACUGCUGGGACUCAAAGGUAUGGCUAGGCCCUGCUUACUGAUUGAUUCCUGGAUUUAUAAGAUUUUAGUUACUUUAAUAACACCUCAAUUAUAAUUAUUUGCUAUCCUAUUAGAAUGCUGCUUCUAGCACCAAAAACAUACAGUGCUUAUGAGUAUAGUGGCUGAUGCAAUGGGUUUUGUGUGUGUGUAUGGGGGGCAUAUGUAAGCAUGAAGGGGUCACAUGCUAUUCCAUGCAGCAUCCAAGCGGGCAGGGGUCCUGAGGAGCACAACCCUGAUCUUUGCAGUGGGCUGAUCUUGGGUAGUUGUUAACCUCUAAACAUGAUAGCUUUUGAGGUGAACAAUCUGCAUGCCCACCUUGUCCACAGGAGGUAGAGCCUACCUACUGCCCCCUUUCAAUGCCUUCCAUAGUCUUGAGCAGUGACAUAUUGGCAAUGAUGAUUGUGGUCCAGGAUUAGAAGCUCUGCCUUUGUCCCUUUGUGUGGAAAGAGUGAAGAAAGGGCACUAAUAACAACAGCUAAUUUUUUUCUCUUCACUGUAGAGAGGAGGGGCCUAAAGCCAGCUUUGAGAUUUGAUUUGGAAAAGUUUUCUAACAAUGUAUAUAUCAUGUGCGUAUAGUCUACACCUGGAACAGUGCCAUGUGGCUCUGUGUUUUUAGGUUUUCUUUUUUAUUAAUAAAUAUUAAAGCAAGUUAUUGUAAAUUCUUUAAGUGAAUAUAGCCCCUACAGGUGUUACAUGAAUGUCAGAUCCUAAAUCUAGUAUUUGAUUAUGAAAUUUGAUUUCAAAGCAGUCAUUUCUUGUUCCUUUCUGAACAGUCAUCUAUUUAGGGAAAAGUGUUUGCAGUCAGAGAAUCAUAGGUGCAAAAUAAUUCUUUUCUGGAGCUCUGUGUGAGUCAAGUAGAUCAUCUUGAUGAUUCUUGCCUUCCAUAUUGCUUAGUUUGACUCCCAAAUAUGUGGGCAUGGAUAUAAUCAUUUGGGGAAGUGUAUGUGGCUUAGAGAAUCAUGUUUUUAGAAUAAUUUUGUAAUUGAUAAUAUCUGGAGAUUAAAGUAAUAUUUUAGAACAAUUAGAAAGUUGUUGAAAUAACACCCUAUAGAAGAUCCUUACUAAGACCUUCUCAACAAUGUGAAGAAGCUAUCAUGUAACAGUGCCUUCACUUCUUAGACAGGGAAACUCAGGUAUAUUAGUUGAUUGUGGAUAAUGACUGGAGACAGUUGGAAGCCAGGACAUGCUCAACUUUCUUAGUUUUCUUUUGGCAUGCAGUUACUGUAAUGAUUAGGUUAUCUGGAAACUAGGGAUAAUGUUAGGCUGGCAAAAUGGAGUGAUAAAUUGGCACCAGUAUCAAGUCCACGCAAGCCAUUGGAACUUUUCAUAGGCCUGGAUCAGGAAGGUAUGUAGCAGUGUGUGGAUACUGGUUCUGAAUUAUUGGAUAUAUGGGGUGAGCUGUGUUUGUAACAUAUGGCCUGGCUCAUAAUGCAUGAAUGGGAGAAAACCACACUCUUUUAGAAAUAGAUUUGAUUGCUUCCAGGGACUACUCAUAUUUCUUGCUCAUGUAUUCCUUCAUUUUUCCUAAAGUUUGAGCCAUUUCUUCGGAAUCUGUACAAAGCAGACUCCAGGGAAAGAAGAAACAGAUAAUGCACAAUAACUGAUCCAUGUAGAAAACACAGAGAUUUAUAGCAUUCUUAAGUGCAUGACUGAGGCCAGGAAACACCUAGGCAUGCACAAAGAAGUCACUACCUCCUCUCCCUCCUCUCCCUAUAUGAGAUCUAGAUGGCCCGAGUUCUGCUUCAGGAGUCAUUGCGCAGAAAUAACUACCCUUUCUCCCUCAUAGUAACUUCUGAAGUCACUAACCCUGAAGGCUCCAAAAGAAAACCUAGGACUCAGUGAAUGGAGCUGAUGCAUCCAGAUGACAUCACAGCUUCUCUUGAUGGGUCAUUCAAUGUUUGUGAACCCAGACACACAAGCAGAUCCUAAAUCUAGUGUUUGAUCGUGAAAAUUGAUCUAACACCAGCAAUUUCUUGUCCCUUUCUGAACAGUUGUGUGUUUAGGGAAAAGCUGUUUUUAUAAUCAUUGAAGUAAAAUAAUUCUCUUUGGAACCAUGUGCCAGUCAGUCAAAUAGACCAUCUUCUUGGUGAUUUCUGUCUUUGGCAUGGCUUAAUUUUACUCAAAGUAUCAGCGUGGAUAUAUAAUAAUUUUUGGAAGUAUGUGUGGUGAACAACAGUUGAUCAAGAAUUCUGGAAUCUCUGUGGCCUGAUGAAUAAGAGCACAGAUAUUUAAAUCACAAAGCCCUGGAUUGAAAAUUCUGCAACAGUGCAUAGCAGUAGCCCUGUGAUCGAGGCACAUGCCUUAGUAGCUUGUCUGAAAGAUAGGUAUACAGUGGGUGCUUCAUGAAGUCAUGGAAGAAGUAAAUGUGUGGAUGUGAGUAAAGUACUCAGCAUUGUGAAUGAGUACCAGAGGGCAGAGCUAUCAUUGUUGCUCUAGAGUUUAAGCAUACUGCGGGAACUAGGAGGCUAGAGUUUAUUUGAGACCCUAAGUUAUCACGGUGGCUAGAAGAAAAAGAAGUAAGGGUGAGAGUCCUGAGGAAAGAAGCAGGAGAGAAGAAAACAGUUCCAAACCAUUCUCUCACCCCGCCUGAUUUGCUGUUUCAGCAAAUACAUCUGCUUACAAUAGUGAGUUGAAUGUGCUUUAUGCCACAGAAUGCUUUAAGCUUUUAGAAUCCCCGAUGGAAGGGAGAUCGUGUGGUCUUUCUUGGCUUGAGCAUGAGUUAGAAUUUGUCGGAUGGGCAUUUUGCCUUCAUCAAAACUUGAGUCUGGUUCGAUACACAAUGACAUUUUCCAAAGACCAUCUGCUUGAUCUCUUUAGAUUUGUGGAACUCCUUCAGCAUUUAUACAGCUCUGUGAGAAAGGGAGAGCACUGCUCCUUCCACUCGGUGCAUGGAUAACCUGAGGUACAGAGAGCAGAGCGCACUGAAAAGUCUUCUCCAAGUUGUCCAGCAAAUAGUAGAUGUGGGUCUCCUACGAUUUCUCCUUCAGUUCCGACUCUGGAUCCAUGCCCUACUCAUACAAGUGGCCUUUCAAGUUAUUUUAAUAUUGGGUGAAAAUGGCACCUCUUCUAAUUUAUAUCAUUCACAUGGAAGUUUCUUCUGGUGGUCAUCAGAGCUCAAAUUCUUUCAAGGCCCCUUACUUACCAGGGUCCAAGCUGUCUGUGGAGUGGUCCCUGAUCUAGGAUAAAGCACUGAUGUCCUUACUGUGGGAUGACCCAUCCAUUGUCCAUGCCAGGCCAGCUCUAAGUUUGAAAUAUUAUCGUAUUGGUGAGAGAUUUUCACCUGAUUGCCAGGUGGCUUAGCAGCUGUCAGUCCCCCAACUCCCUGGGGGUCCCCUUACUCUGGUUGUUGUACUAUGAAUACUCCUGCAAUCUGGUGUGGACUAUAGGGGACUCUAAGCUGACAACUGAUCUGUAUUGCUCUGAUUUGACUGUCACCCACAUAGCUCCCUAGUAGAGAAAUCUCAAUAUGGUAUCAGCCUUGGGAGCCUGUAUUUAUUAGAUUGUGAUAAAUUCUAUUUCCCUGCCUUUGGGUGCCUGUUCCUAAAAGAAAGGAAUAUCUCGAAAUAGACUCAUCCUGUCCUUGUAGUUGUUUUAAAGUUUGAUCAGGCUUCUGUUUUUGUCCGGGUCCGAUUUCCAGUCAACCUCUUCCAGGCAAGGCGUUUGUAUGUUGUGUGGUCUUGACCUGAACACUUUCUAAGAGAGAAGCUCUGAUUUGGUUAUGUAUUUUUUGUUGUUGUUGCUGUUGCCCAGGUUUGAGAUAGGGUCUCUCUGUGUAGUGUAGGCUGGUCUGGAACUUGCUAGACUCCUGUAUCUGCCUCCAGAGGCCUGGAAUUGAAGACUUGUGCCCCCUACACCCUGCAGAAGCUCACAUCUGGAUAGCAGGCAUCUGAAGAGACAUGAAUGAGGAGAGGGACUGCAGCUGUCCUCAGCCCCUCAGGGAAUUCCACACAGGUCCAGCAUCAAUUCCUCCGCUGGCUAAGAAACUUGCCACUUCUUCCAUUAGCUUUAGAAGGAGACAGUUUUACUUGAGUGUUCCCCUUUGGAAAAAAUGAUCAGCUAUUCACUAUUAGUCUGUAUGUUAACCAUUUCAACAUACAGAUGGGUAUCAUUGUCCACAGCUCUGACAGCAGUGUUCACAAUUGUUCACCAAGGUUGCAUUCUGCACUGCUGGAAGCUGAUGUAAUGCCCAGUGUAUCAUGUGACUUCCUGAGCCCUAUCUAUGGAAUGGAACUGUAUCAGGAAACCCUGUCCUCUUCUUACCCUCUAUCCUCACUCCCAGAGAUCUCCUGACCUGAUCACAUUCAGCCUCUAAAACUAGACUCUAAUUGCCCUUCUUCCAUUCAGCUUUCCCCAAAAACCUAUGGUAUUUUUAAUAUAGAUUUUAUUUCUACAUUUAUUAUUUAGUUAUUUAUGGUUUUGUUAAUAGUCAAAUUUCUUUUCUUUUUUAAAAAAAAUAUUCUUCUCUUAUAUAUUACAUCUUGCCCACUGUUUCUCCUCCCUCUCCUCCUCCCAGUCUCUCUCCCUCAGAUCCACACCCUCUCUGUCUCCCCUCAGAAAAAAGCAGGCCUCCCAGGGACAUCAGCCAACAAACACAGCAUAAUAUGAACAACCCAAACUUCUAAUCAGAUUUUUUAUGUGAUACAUUGUCUUAGUUAGCUUUGGUUAUAAACCUGAUACAGUAUACUGCCAUCUGAGACAGAAGUCUCAACUGAGAGUAGACCAGAUCGGACGGUGGCCAUGUCUGUGAGGGACUAUAUUGGUGUUUAAUUGAUGUAAGCAGCAGGUUGAGUACACUGUGGGUUGCACUAUUCUGUAGGCAUGUGGUCUUGUGCUGUAUAAGAAAGCUAGUGAAACAUGAAUCUCUGAGAAUGUAACCAGCAAGCAGACUUCCUCCAUGGCCUCUGCUUCAGUUCCUGCCUUGAGUUCCUUCCUGCCCUGACUUCCUUCAGGGAUUGACUGUGACAUGGAAGCAUGAGCCAAAUAAACUCUUUCCUCCCCAAGCUGCUUUGGGUUAGAGUGUUUCAUCAUAUCAAAGAAGGAAACUAAACAGAGGUGUUGAGUAAAUGUUUUUGAAUGUUGAAUACGUGUUUUUACCUUUCAUUUCUUUAAAACCUUUUAGCAGACAUGCAGUUGGGUUGAGGUAGAGACUGGUAAAGACACAUUUGGGUAGUGCAGUGAGGAUUUUGGGAAGCGUAUCACCAUGCCCCUCUGGGGCUGUGUUGCCAGCCCUGAGCAUAAGUAGCUUUAUGUGGUAUCUUGGUGCCUGAAAAGAAGAAAGGAAUUGAGAGGCCUUCUCUACUUCACUCUUUAAAAUCACUUGUCCAGAUUUUCUGGAGAAAAAAAAUCCUAGUCCACAUAGGUAAUAGAAUGUAAUUAGCCAAGCAGAAAGCCACAGUUCUGAGAAGCAGUUGAGAGAGGCAGAGAGAGGGCGGGGGAAGAGGCAGACAGACAGACAGACAGACAGAGACAGAGACAGACAGAGAAAGAGAGCCCUUUACUUUAUUUCCUAUUGGAAAGUUUGUCAAAAUAUCCACUUGAAUGGUUCAUGAACUACUUUAGAGGUGCAUUGUGGAUAUUUGAAAUCUGGUGUUAUCUCAGAUCACCCUUUAAAAAAUAAACUAAAUUUCUUUCUUUCUUUCUUUCUUUCUUUCUUUCUUUCUUUCUUUCUUUCUUUCUUUCUUUCUUUCUUUCUUUCUUCCUUUCUUUCUUCCUUUCUUUCUUUUCUUCUUCCUUCCCUCCCUCCCUUUUCUUCUGUCUCUCUGUCUCUGUCUCUCUCUCUCUGAGAGAGCCUGAACGCAGUCCCCAACUACCACAAAUUAUGCAGUUGAGUUUCCCUCAUUUGGAGAAAUUGCAGGGGACAGCACAUUCAGAGUGCAAUGGAUAAGCCUGGCCCUGGGGAAAAACCACCUUCCUGAUCAUGGUAUCUCCCCUGGCAGGUUGCUUUGUUGUUGAGAUAUGGUACCAUAGCACAGCCUGAGGCAGACGGCUUAGGAAGUCAUCAGUUCUGUGGAUGAUGGCGUGCAAGUGAGGAGACCAGAAGUCUGAAAAUGUCCGCAGGUGUGGCUCCUUCUAUGGACCUGAAGUCAGAAACCACCCCAUAGCUCUCCUCCAGAUUCUGGGAGUCAUUGAUAACUCUCCACAUUUGUUUUUGUUUUUGUUGUUUUGCUUUUCAAGACAGGGUUUCUCUGUGUAACAGCCCAAGAUGUCCUAGAACUCACUCUGUGGACCAGGCUGGCCUGGAACUC